rnacentral:rRNA from 1 species
GAUGAACGCUAGCGGCAGGCUUAACACAUGCAAGUCGAGGGGCAACACGGGUAGCAAUACCUGGUGGCGACCGGCGCAAGGGUGCGUAACGCGUGAGCAACAUGCCCUAUACAGGGGGAUAAUCCAGGGAAACUUGGUCUAAUAUCCCAUAGUAUUUAGAGGUGGCAUCACCACUAAAUUAAAGCUUCGGUGGUAUAGGAUUGGCUCGCGUGACAUUAGCUUGAUGGUGGGGUAACGGCUCACCAUGGCGAUGAUGUCUAGGGGUUCUGAGAGGAAGACCCCCCAACUGGGACUGAGACACGGCCCAGACUCCUACGGGAGGCAGCAGUGAGGAAUAUUGGACAAUGGAUGGAAAUCUGAUCCAGCCAUGCCGCGUGCAGGAAGACGGCCCUAUGGGUUGUAAAACUGCUUUUAUAUGGGAGCAAUAAGGUUUACGCGUAGACCGAUGAGAGUACCAUAUGAAUAAGCAUCGGCUAACUCCGUG